rnacentral:rRNA from 1 species
AUUGAACGCUGGCGGCAGGCCUAACACAUGCAAGUCGAACGAGUGGCGGACAGGUGAGUAAUGUCCGGGAAAAUGCCUGACGGAGGGGGAUAACUACUGGAAACGGUAGCUAAUACCGCAUACCAUCUGAUGUGCCCAGAUGGGAUUAGCUAGUAGGUGGGGUAAAGGCUCACAUAGGCGACGAUCCCUAGCUGGUCUGAGAGGAUGACCAGCUGCACUGGACCUAGUAGCCGGUCCAGACUCCUACGAGAGGUAGCAGUGGGGAAUGUUGCACAAAGGGCGCAAGCCGGAUACAGCCAAGGCGCGGGCAUGAAGAGGGCGUUCGGGUUGUACAGUUCUUUCAGCGGGGAGGCGUUACCCGCAGAAGAAGCACCGGCUAACUCCGUGCCAGCAGCCGCGGUAAUUC